GGCAAGGUGGCUGAGUAAGCGGUGGAUUGUAAUCCCACACACAGGGGUUUGAGCCCCCUCUUUGCCA
rnacentral:tRNA from 1 species